GAUGAACGCUGGCGGCGUGCCUGAUACAUGCAAGUCGAGCGCACAGAUGAGGGCUUUGUUCCUCUGACGUGAUCCGCGCACGGGUGUGUAACACGUGGAACAUCUACCUAUAAGACUGGGAAAACUUCGGGAAAAUGGAGCAAAUAGCGGAAAAUAUAUUGAAGCAUAUGAUUCAAUAGUGAGAGACAGUUUUGCUGUUACUAAUAGAUGGAUCGGCGCCGCAUUAGCUAGUUGGUGAGGCAACGGACUACCAAGGCAACGAUGCGUAGCCGACCUGGGAGGGUGUCCGGCCACACUGGAACUGAGACCCGGCCAAGACUCCUACGGGAGGCAGAAGUAGGGAAUCUCCCGCAAUGGGCGAAAGCCUGACGGGGAACCGCCGCGUGAGUGAUGAGGUUCUCCGGAUGUUAAGACUCUUUGAUUAGGGAGGAAGAAUGGUGUAAGUAACUAUGCACGUCUUGACGGUACCUAAUCAGAAAGCCACGGCUAACUACGUG
rnacentral:rRNA from 1 species